rnacentral:rRNA from 1 species
CGUACACUCCUGCGGGAGGCAGCAGUGGGGAAUAUUAGACAAUGGGCGCAAGCCUGAUCCAGCCAUGCCGCGUGAGUGAUGAAGGCCCUAGGGUUGUAAAGCUCUUUCACCGGUGAAGAUAAUGACGGUAACCGGAGAAGAAGCCCCGGCUAACUUCGUGCCGGCAGCCGCGGUAAUACGAAGGGGGCUAGCGUUGUUCGGAUUUACUGGGCGUAAAGCGCACGUAGGCGGACUAUUAAGUCAGGGGUGAAAUCCCGGGGCUCAACCCCGGAACUGCCUUUGAUACUGGUAGUCUUGAGUUCGAGAGAGGUGAGUGGAAUUCCGAGUGUAGAGGUGAAAUUCGUAGAUAUUCGGAGGAACACCAGUGGCGAAGGCGGCUCACUGGCUCGAUACUGACGCUGAGGUGCGAAAGCGUGGGGAGCAAACAGGAGUAGAAACCCCAGUAGUCCC